UACGUAGGGUGCGAGCGUUAAUCGGAAUUACUGGGCGUAAAGCGUGCGCAGGCGGUGAUGUAAGACAGUUGUGAAAUCCCCGGGCUCAACCUGGGAACUGCAUCUGUGACUGCAUCGCUGGAGUGCGGCAGAGGGGGAUGGAAUUCCGCGUGUGGCAGUGAAAUGCGUAGAUAUGCGGAGGAACACCGAUGGCGAAGGCAAUCCCCUGGGCCUGCACUGACGCUCAUGCACGAAAGCGUGGGGAGCAAACAGG
rnacentral:rRNA from 1 species